GUGGUAAUUCUAGAGCUAAUACAUGCUAAAAACCUCGACUUCGGAAGGGGUGUAUUUAUUAGAUAAAAAACCAAUGCCCUUCGGGGCUCCUUGGUGAAUCAUAAUAACUUAACGAAUCGCAUGGCCUUGCGCCGGCGAUGGUUCAUUCAAAUUUCUGCCCUAUCAACUUUCGAUGGUAAGAUAGAGGCUUACCAUGGUCUUAACGGGUAACGGGGAAUUAGGGUUCUAUUCCGGAGAGGGAGCCUGAGAAACGGCUACCACAUCCAAGGAAGGCAGCAGGCGCGCAAAUUACCCAAUCCCGACACGGGGAGGUAGUGACAAUAAAUACUGAUACGGGGCUCUUUUGGGUCUCGUAAUUGGAAUGAGUACAAUCUAAAUCCCUUAACGAGGAACAAUUGGAGGGCAAGUCUGGUGCCAGCAGCCGCGGUAAUUCCAGCUCCAAUAGCGUAUAUUAAAGUUGUUGCCGUUAAAAAGCUCGUAGUUGAACCUUGGGCCUGGCUGACCUGUCCUCCUAAUCGAGCGCACGGGUUCGGUCGGGCCUUUCCUUCUAGGGAACCCCAUGCCCUUCACUGGGUGUGGUGGGGAACUAGGACUUUUACCUUGAAAAAAUUAGAGU
rnacentral:rRNA from 2 species